GACGAACGCUGGCGGCGUGCUUAACACAUGCAAGUCGAACGGAAAGGCCCUGCUUUUGUGGGGUGCUCGAGUGGCGAACGGGUGAGUAACACGUGAGUAACCUGCCCUUGACUUUGGGAUAACUUCAGGAAACUGGGGCUAAUACCGGAUAGGAGCUCCUGCUGCAUGGUGGGGGUUGGAAAGUUUCGGCGGUUGGGGAUGGACUCGCGGCUUAUCAGCUUGUUGGUGGGGUAGUGGCUUACCAAGGCUUUGACGGGUAGCCGGCCUGAGAGGGUGACCGGCGACAUGGGGACUGAGAUACGGCCCAGACUCCUACGGGAGGCGGCAGUGGGGAAUAUUGCACAAUGGGCGGAAGCCUGAUGCAGCAACGCCGCGUGCGGGAUGACGGCCUUCGGGUUGUAAACCGCUUUCGCCUGUGACGAAGCGUGAGUGACGGUAAUGGGUAAAGAAGCACCGGCUAACUACGUG
rnacentral:rRNA from 1 species